UACGUAGGUGGCAAGCGUUGUCCGGAUUUACUGGGCGUAAAGCGCGCGCAGGCGGAUUGGUCAGUCCGGGGUGAAAUCUCACGGCUCAACUGUGAGCGGUCCCCGGAUACUGCCAGUCUCGAGGUGUCUAGAGGAGAGCGGAAUUCCUGGUGUAGCGGUGAAAUGCGCAGAUAUCAGGAGGAACACCGGUGGCGAAGGCGGGUCUCUGGGCCGAUACUGUCGCUGAGGAGCGAAAGCGUGGGGAGCGAACAGG
rnacentral:rRNA from 1 species